GUCAUUGCAUAAAGCCUAUAUGAUUUAGACACAAGAUAGAAUUGGU
rnacentral:rRNA from 1 species